rnacentral:rRNA from 1 species
CCUACGGGGGGCAGCAGCAAGGAAUUUUCCGCAAUGGGCGCAAGCCUGACGGAGCAACGCCGCGUGGGGGAUGACGCUUUUCGGAGUGUAAACCUCUUUUCUCAGGAAAACAGUACCUGAGGAAUAAGGACCGGCUAACUACGUGCCAGCAGCCGCGGUAAUACGUAGGGUCCGAGCGUUGUCCGGAGUUACUGGGCGUAAAGCGCGCGCAGGUGGCUCGAUAAGACUGGCGUGAAAGCCCCCGGCUCAACCGGGGAGGGUCGUUGGUGACUGUCGAGCUUGAGGGCAGCAGGGCAGGUGGAAUUCCCGGUGUAGUGGUGAAAUGCGUAGAGAUCGGGAGGAACACCCGUGGCGAAGGCGGCCUGCUGGCUACCCUGACACUGAGGCGCGAAGGCGUGGGGAGCGAACGGGAUUAGAUACCCUUGUAGUC